AACAAAAUGUAUGCACACGCGUAAAACGUAAAAUACGUAGACUCUUAAAUUUAAUAAGAGAUUAAUAAAGUCUUUUAAAUGUUUGUUCUCAAGACUUUCCUAAACCUAAAGAUGCGAGAACUUGCGAACUGGACUCAUCCACACAUGCUGAGGGGAUCGGUCCCGCCUUCUUUUUCCCAUUGUUCCAUUGCCUAGUGUAACCAUGACAAUGGAACUUUCGCUAAAAAUUGUUUAACGCUCAUUGGUUUCCACAACUGUCAAUCACCACCACAACAACCCCAAAUCCAGUUGGACUGUAACUUGCAAACUAACCACAAAAGUUAUGCUACAGGUGUCCAAAACUGUCCGCGCGAGGAAUGACAAAGUAAAACACCAACGUGCACAUCCUUAACAUUAGAAACAUCCAAGUGAAUUAAAUAUUUAAUGCAGGUUGACAGUUUAAGCUAGCGCGGUAUUGUUUUACGGCGGAACAGCUGGCCAAACGCACAAGAAAUUCCCAUGGCUACAUUGCUAACCUACAUUAGCCAGCACUUCCUAAAAACUUUACUCAGAGGAAAUAAUGGAAGUUGAACAGAAUGCCUUUCUGCAGAAGGAGUAAACAAAAGGAGAGGGCAGCAGCUGGUGUGUGGACAGCAGGAGGAGAAGAAGGAGGAGGAAUAUACAGCACCGAAGAAGUUUCUCGUGGCUGAUGAGGGUUCCUGAAUAUGCAGAUGUACAGAAACAAGAAAAGUCAUGAAUGCAACUUAAAACAAGUGUAAGUACCUACAAAGCAAGAGAAUCACUCACCAGCAGUAGAUGAUGAUAAUGAU